CAUAAUAAAGGGAGGUUCCAUCUUCCCCUUGCUCCCACAGCACCCAUGGCGCCCUGCUCGAAGCCUCAAGUACUCUGCCCAGAAGGUCAAAUGCUCCUUCUGGCCAGUUAGCAGUUGGUGCCCCUUGCUGAAAAAGAGUACUGACUUUAGUGACCACUUACUUAAACCUCGUGCUCUAAUUCAUCGCCAUGCCAGGAGGUGGCUACAAGGUGGACAAGGACCCAAGGCAGAAGCAAGUCAACAUGCCCAAGGUCUCCAGGACUCAACAGGACAGAGCUAGGGUCUGAAUUCAGGAAUGUUCUUUGGAAGCCCAGAACUCAGUCAUGGAGCUGCGAGGGAGGCUGAGAAAUGAGGUCCAACCAUAAACAGAAGCAGAAAAACGUGGAUAAAUCUCCCACAGAUAAGGAAGAACAUGCAGUAUUUGUCUUUCUGGAUCCAGCUUAGUUCACUCAACAUGGUGUCCUCUGGUUGAGCUCAUUUUGCUCCAAAUGGUAGAAUUCCAUUUUUCAGCUUCAAAGCUUUUGCAGGAAUGAACACCUGUCUUUCCGGGCAUUAUAAGAAAUUGUCAGCUUACAAAGGCACUGUCCAAAAGGCCUGGUUGCACUGGAAGUCUGUUGCAGUGUGUGCUGUUUAAAGCACUCGAGCCAUGGAAGUAGAUCUCGGAAAUCCUUGGGGUGACAUCAGCUCCAAAAAUUGUACCUGGGGUGUUUACAUAAACAGAAGGACCGUGUAGGACCCACUGAACAACUCUGAAUUAAGUUCAAAUGCAAGUAAAAUAUCCAAGAAAAAAUCCAGGUUGUUCCCAAGCCAAGCAAUCAUAUGGAAGCAUUGAACUACACUUGAUUGAGUUUUUAGGGGUUUCCAACUCCCUUCUGCCCCAGGCUCCUAAAGAACUCAUGUAAUGGUUUAAGUCACAAUCUGUCACAUAAGGAAUUGUCAUUUCUGAUGGAGCAAUAAUCUGAGCAUAGUUUUUCACUUUGUAAAGGAGAUGGUAAUUGUGAUGGGCUCUGUUUUUCUGAUGGGGCGAUCCUCUGGUGUGGAGUGACAAUUUGAAUAAAGUAAAGUUUUGAAGAGUUGCACAUGUUCCUUGAAGAGGAAAUUUGAUGAAAAGUAGCAGCUUAGUAUUUGCUAUGAGGUCACUCAACUUCAAGCAGCUUUCAACAUCUUUUGAAGAAAUCACCCUUUAAAGUUUAACUGAUCAAAGUGAUAUAAUGUAGAGGAAUUGGAAUCCCUCAUUGGCCUAUCCAUUACAGAGUGGCAAGAUACAAAGCUUUGAGAGCUGCAGGUCAGUGUAGAAUCCCAAAGUGAAGAAGUUGUCCACCCGGUGCUUACCCAGACAAAAGAAAAAGACACACAACAAGGCUCCAAAUGGAAUGGAAGAACCUAUGUUAAGUCAUAGCAAAUCAAAUUCCAAGAAAACUGCUUUCCCUCCAACACCAGAGACACCAGAAAUGGUUGCUUCUCUUUGUUCGCCAUCUCUGAUUCCACAGAGAAACAUUACUCCUCCAAACUUGUUACUGACUUUGAGAACAAUCGUUAGGGUCUGCUUUUUUUUUUUUUUCAGGAGGAAAAAAACACAACUAUUGAUUUCAACCCACCAGAAGAAAGAGAAUCUGGUUAUAAUUCUGAGAGAUUUGAGAAAAUUUAAGGUCUCAAGGUGGAAGUCUAGUGAAAAGAAAUGUCACUAGGAGAACCAGUAAGUCUCAUUUAAAAAAACUACGGGGCACCUGGAGGCAGAAGAGAAAAGAGGAGAGGAGACGCUGAGGGUUUUACCACUGUCUGUCUCACUCAUCAACAUAGCACUCAGUCUAGUUCUCGGUAAAUGUGAAGAAAAAUAAGGUUGGAUGGAUUAUGACCAUUUUGCUGCAUAGUGUUUGCAUAAGGGGGUGCCAGUGUGAAAUAUAAUGUAUCAGACCCUAGGCAAAGAACAGGGAAAAAAAGAAUAAUGGAGUUUAAAGAUAAGUUGGGGCCAGGAUUGUGGUGUAGCAGGAAAAGCCACUGUAUGUGACACCAGCAUUCCAUAUGGAUGCUGGUUCCUGUUCCAGGUAUUCCACUUCCAAACCAGCUCACUAUUAAUGGCCUGAGAAAAGCUGCAGAAGAUGGCCCAAAUGCAUGGGCCUCUGCCACCCCUGUGGGAAACACGGAUGAAACCCCUGGCUCCUGGCUUCAGUCUGGCCCAGCUCUGGCUGUCGUGACCACUUGGGAAGUGGCCCAGAAAUAGAACAUCUCUCUCUGUCUCUCCCUUCUCUGUAAC